UACGGAGGGUGCAAGCGUUAUCCGGAUUCACUGGGUUUAAAGGGUGCGUAGGUGGGCAGGAAAGUCAGUGGUGAAAUCUCCGGGCUUAACCCGGAACUGCCGUUGAUACUAUUUGUCUUGAAUAUUGUGGAGGUAAGCGGAAUAUGUCAUGUAGCGGUGAAAUGCUUAGAUAUGACAUAGAACACCAAUUGCGAAGGCAGCUUACUACACAAUGAUUGACGCUGAGGCACGAAAGCGUGGGGAUCAAACAGG
rnacentral:rRNA from 1 species